rnacentral:tRNA from 1 species
GGGUAUCGCCAAGCGGUAAGGCACCGGAUUCUGAUUCCGGCAUUCACAGGUUCGAAUCCCGUCGUAGCCACCA